rnacentral:rRNA from 1 species
GACGACGCUGGCGGCGUGCCUAACACAUGCAAGUCGAGCGGAGGUACCAAAGGAGUAAUCCGGAGGUACUUUAGCGGCGGACGGGUGAGUAACGCGUGAGCUACCUACCUUACACAGGGGGAUAACGGAGGGAAACCUUCACUAAUACCGCAUAAGACCACAGCACCGCAUGGUGCGGGGGUCAAAGGAGCAAUCCGGUGGAAGAUGGGCUCGCGUCCUAUUAGAUAGUUGGUGGGGUAACGGCCCACCAAGUCAACGAUGGGUAGCCGACCUGAGAGGGUGAUCGGCCACAUUGGAACUGAGAGACGGUCCAAACUCCUACGGGAGGCAGCAGUGGGGAAUAUUGGGCAAUGGGGGCAACCCUGACGCAGCAACGCCGCGUGAGUGAGGAAGGUUUUCGGACCGUAAAGCUCUGUCGAGCGGGAAGAAAUGUAUCAUGGCUAAUAUCCAUGAUACUUGACGGUACCGCUAAAGGAAGCACCGGCUAACUCCGUG